CGCCCUAAGAGUUUGAUCCUGGCUCAGAUUGAACGCUGGCGGUAUGCUUAACACAUGCAAGUCGAACGGUAACAGGCAGAAGCUUGCUUUUGCGCUGACGAGUGGCGGACUGGUGAGUAACGCGUAGGUAUCUGCCUAGUAGUGGGGGACAACUCAGAGAAAUUUGGAUUAAUACCGCAUACACUCUACGGAGAAAAGCAGGGGAUCUUAGGACCUUGCGCUAUUAGAUAAGCCUGCGUGGGAUUAGCUAGUUGGUGAGGUAAAGGCUCACCAAGGCGACGAUCUCUAGCUGGUCUGAGAGGAUGAUCAGCCACACUGGGACUGAGACACGGCCCAGACUCCUACGGGAGGCAGCAGUGGGGAAUAUUGCACAAUGGGGGCAACCCUGAUCCAGCCAUACCGCGUGUGUGAAGAAGGCUUUCGGGUUGUAAAGCACUUUCAGUAGGGAGGAAAAGAUAGUCUUUAAUACGGGCUAUGUGUGACGUUAGCAACAGAAGAAGGACCGGCUAACUCCGUGCCAGCAGCCGCGGUAAUACGGAGGGUCCGAGCGUUAAUCGGAAUUACUGGGCGUAAAGCGCACGCAGGCGGUUUGUUAAGCUAGAUGUGAAAGCCCGGGCUCAACCUGGGAAUAGCAUUUAGAACUGGCAGGCUAGAGUCUUGGAGAGGGGAGCGGAAUUUCCUGUGUAGCGGUGAAAUGCGUAGAUAUCUGGAGGAACAUCAGUGGCGAAGGCGACUCCCUGGCCAAAGACUGACGCUCAUGUGCGAAAGUGUGGGUAGCGAACAGGAUUAGAUACCCUGGUAGUCCACACCGUAAACGAUGUCUACUAGCUGUUUGUGGAUUUAAUCCGUGAGUAGCGAAGCUAACGCGAUAAGUAGACCGCCUGGGGAGUACGGCCGCAAGGUUAAAACUCAAAUGAAAUGACGGGGGCCCGCACAAGCGGUGGAGCAUGUGGUUUAAUUCGAUGCAACGCGAAGAACCUUACCUACUCUUGACAUACUUGGAAUUCAGCAGAGAUGCUUUAGUGCCUUCGGGAACCGAGAUACAGGUGCUGCAUGGCUGUCGUCAGCCCGUGUCGUGAGAUGUUCGGUUAAGUCCGGCAACGAGCGCAACCCACAUCUUUAGUUGCCAUCAGUUCGGCUGGGCACUCUAAAGAAACUGCCCGUGAUAAGCGGGAGGAAGGUGUGGAUGACGUCAAGUCCUCAUGGCCCUUACGGGUUGGGCUACACACGUGCUACAAUGGCAGUGACAAUGGGUUAAUCCCAAAAAGCUGUCUCAGUUCGGAUUGGGGUCUGCAACUCGACCCCAUGAAGUCGGAAUCGCUAGUAAUCGCGUAACAGCAUGACGCGGUGAAUACGUUCCCGGGCCUUGUACACACCGCCCGUCACACCAUGGGAGUUGGUUCUACCCGAAGGUGGUAGCUUAACCUUCGGGAGGGCGGUUACACGGUGGGGUUCAUGACUGGGGUGAAGUCGUAACAAGGUAAC
rnacentral:rRNA from 1 species